rnacentral:misc_RNA from 1 species
GCGGCUUCCAAGUGACCAGUGUUUAUCAUGAACUCAAGCAUAAAGCUAGACUGGAGAAGAAAGAUAGGCAGUUGGUGGGUGAAAGGAUUCUGUGGCCACCUGAUAAUGGAUUACUGGUCAAAGAAUUAAUGCCAGUUGCUCAUGAGUCAUGAUGUUUAUGUUAGAGCUGAAGUUUUCUUAAGAGCAUUGCUGUGUAUGCAUGCAGAUAUGAAGAAGAAGAUGAAUAAGCUCACAGGAAGAAACAUAGCUAUGAUAAUUCUUGUAGUAAUGCUCAUUGCUUUCAAGGUAACUUCAGCAGGUGGAGAUGGAGGCGAAGGCGGAGGAGAAAGUGGAGGCGAAGGUGGAAGUGGAGGUGAAGGUGAAGGUGGAGGUGGAGGUGGCAGAGGUGGUAGUGGCAAUGGCAGUGGUACGACAGGGAAUGAAGGUCAAAACCCAGCCUCUGCAUCCGUAGCAUGGGGAGGAGCUUCCGAGCAUGGUUUCAUUGAACAGCUACCUUUAAUUCUAGUAGUUUUCUUGCUGGUCCAAGGAUGCAAAGUUUUUUUUAGGAGAACUAAGGGUAAUGGAGAUUUGAAUCUGACUCUAUCAUAUUGAG